ensembl:snRNA
AAAAAGGGCUUCUACCGUGAUUGGUACAGGAGGAGUAGUGAUUGCUAUUUCUCGUGCGGAAUCGCCAUCAAGAGAUUUCGGAAGCACAAUUUUUAAAACAGGGGUUGCUAGUGAUCUACUGUCCUGGCGCCCCG